CCUACGGGAGGCAGCAGUGAGGAAUAUUGGUCAAUGGUCGCGAGCCUGAACCAGCCAAGCCGCGUGAAGGAUGACGGCCCUACGUGUUGUAAACUUCUUUUGUAAGGGAAUAAAGUGAGGCACGUGUGCCUGUUUGUAUGUAUUUUAUGAAUAAGGAUCGGCUAACUCCGUGCCAGCAGCCGCGGUAAUACGGAGGAUCCGAGCGUUAUCCGGAUUUAUUGGGUUUAAUGGGUGCGUAGGUGGGUUGUUAAGUCAGUGGUGAAAGUUCGGGGCUCAACCGUAAAAUUGCAAUUGAUACUGGCAGUCUUGAGUACAGUUGAGGUAGGCGGAAUGCGUGGUGUAGCGGUGAAAUGCGUAGAUAUCACGAAGAACUCCGAUUGCGAAGGCAGCCUACCAA
rnacentral:rRNA from 1 species